rnacentral:rRNA from 1 species
AUUGAACGCUGGCGGCGUGCCUAACACAUGCAAGUCGAACGAGUGGCGGACGGGUGGGUAAUGUCUGGGAAACUUCCCGGUGGAGAGGGAUGACUACUGGAACCAGUAGCUAAUACCCAAUACCAUCAGAUGUGCCCAGAUGGGAUUAGCUGGUGGGUGGGGUAACGGCUCACCAAGGCGACGAUCCCUAGCUGGUCUGAGAGGAUGACCAGCCACACUGGAACUGAGACACGGUCCAGACGCCUAGGGGAGGCAGCAGUGGGGAACAUUGCACAAUGGUCGCAAGCCUGAUGCAGCCAGGCCGAGUGUAUGAAGAGGGCCUUCGGGUUGUAAAGGACGUUCAGGGGGGAGGCGUUACCCGCAGAAGAAGCACCGGCUAACUCCGUGCCAGCAGCCGCGGUAAUAC